GAUGAACGCUGGCGGCGUGCCUAAUACAUGCAAGUCGAGCGAACAGAUGAGGAGCUUGCUCCUCUGACGUUAGCGGCGGACGGGUGAGUAACACGUGGAUAACCUACCUAUAAGACUGGGAUAACUUCGGGAAACCGGAGCUAAUACCGGAUAAUAUAUUGAACCGCAUGGUUCAAUAGUGAAAGACGGUUUUGCUGUCACUUAUAGAUGGAUCCGCGCCGCAUUAGCUAGUUGGUAAGGUAACGGCUUACCAAGGCAACGAUGCUUAGCCGACCUGAGAGGUGAUCGGCCACACUGGAACUGAGACACGGUCCAGACUCCUACGGGAGGCAGCAGUAGGGAAUCUUCCGCAAUGGGCGAAAGCCUGACGGAGCAACGCCGCGUGAGUGAUGAAGGUCUUCGGAUCGUAAAACUCUGUUAUUAGGGAAGAACAAAUGUGUAAGUAACUAUGCACGUCUUGACGGUACCUAAUCAGAAAGCCACGGCUAACUACGUG
rnacentral:rRNA from 1 species